rnacentral:rRNA from 1 species
UGAGGAAUAUUGGUCAAUGGGCGGGAGCCUGAACCAGCCAAGCCGCGUGAGGGAGGAAGGCCCUAUGGGUCGUAAACCUCUUUUGUCAGGGAACAAAAGCGAGUAUGUAUACUAGUCUGAGUGUACCUGAAGAAAAAGCAUCGGCUAACUCCGUGCCAGCAGCCGCGGUAAUACGGAGGAUGCGAGCGUUAUCCGGAUUUAUUGGGUUUAAAGGGUGCGUAGGCGGGCUGGCAAGUCGGCGGUCAAAUGUCGGGGCUCAACCCCGGCCUGCCGUCGAAACUGCCGGCCUUGAGUGAGCGAGAAGCAGGCGGAAUGCGUGGUGUAGCGGUGAAAUGCAUAGAUAUCACGCAGAACCCCGAUUGCGAAGGCAGCCUGCCGGCGCUCAACUGACGCUGAGGCACGAAAGUGCGGGGAUCGAACAGGAUUAGAUACC